rnacentral:rRNA from 1 species
AAAUUUGGGCCAGCCGCCGCGGUAAUUCGAAGGGGGCUAGCGUUACUCGGAAUUAUUGGGCGUAAAGCGUGCGUAGGCUGCUUAGUAAGUCAAAAGUGAAAGCCUUGGGCUCAACCUAAGAAUUGCUUUUGAAACUACUAAGCUUGAGUACUGUAGGGGGUAGCGGAAUUCCUAGUGUAGGGGUGAAAUUCGUAGAUAUUAGGAGGAACACCGGAGGCGAAAGCGGUUAUCUGGACAGUCACU